rnacentral:misc_RNA from 1 species
GUUUUGCGUGAUGGAUCCCUGCUCGGGCAGCGACAUCAUAUCAUCCACGUCUCUUCAAUUGUAGGCACGAGCAUGUGCUCGGCCGGCGUUGGUUUUCCUGUGCUGUAUACCUGUAUCGAAGGCAAUUCACCGGUUAAAUUKUACCUUUCUCACCUUGUGCUGCUGUCCAUUGCGGGCUAGCGGCGCGGGGUGGCCCGAAUAGCACACGCCGUGUGUCCCAUCCCUUUAACCCCCAGUAAGGUUACACGGGAUGACGAUCGACGGCUUAAUGCUCGAACUCCUGGGUACGGAAUAUCGUGUGGGUACUCGUGGGCCUCGGCCUCCGAGCACCACUAGCAAGCGUUCUACGCUUCAUGCGGACGACUGUCGGUUCGGCCUCUGGCUCGGGCUCUCGUGGCUCGGUUUUGAGUCGUGCCGACGUCGAUGAGGAAUGCUACCU